UUCUCUCUCUCCUCUUUUCCCACAUUUUCGCCCCCUCUCCCUCUCUCUCUCCCUCACACUAUUUUCUCUUACUACCACCAUUGAAGCCUAAUCUCAAGCUCCAAAAAUCACUCCUAUACUUAGAAGUUUACCUAAAUCAAAUCAUAAACCAUCUCUUCUAUGAAUCAAGACAAGGAUUGAAAAGGUUUUAGAGAUUGGAGCCAAGGGAGAUUUUACUUUUCUUUUAAGUCUUUGAAUACCAGUCGAGGACGCAAGUGAGAUCACCCCGAGUACUACCUGAAGUAAGCUAAGCUUGUCAGGAUAAGCAAGGAUGGAGGAUGGCCUGGUGUUGGCGGGGUUGUUGUUUCGGAUGUUUACUAUCUACCAUAUUUUCAUUUCAUAUGGUAGCAUUUUGAUUUUGGAGUUUGUUUUAGACUUAAUCAAGUGAUAUACUCUCAGUUAUAUGUCUUCAUACAUAUAAUCUGAUCACCUUUUGCUGUGAUACUCUGCAUAAUAUGAAUCUUUGUAAAUAUUAAGCUAUGCCUGCUUUGUAAAUGUUGACGAGAAUCCCGAUACUUUGACUUUUAUAAAGUUGUUGAUGCUUAUAUCUUGAA